rnacentral:lncRNA from 1 species
CCUUCUUCCUCCCUUUCGGUUUAGUCUCUCCGGCCAUGGGGUGCUUGGAAGCCGGUGAGGUGCCAGUUCGGGCUUAAACAGGGACACCCCUGUUUACGUUUUAUUUUUUUUUCUUCUCCCCGUGUGCCGCCGGCAACAGCCACCGUUGGGGCUGUGGAUGCAUCGCCGUCGGCGGCUGUCGGAGGGUGGCCGGAGUUGGCCCUCUUUGGCCGCUUGAGGGUGAGAGGAGAUGGAGGGGCACGAUGCCCUGUUUUGCCCCAAAGGAAACCACG